rnacentral:rRNA from 1 species
GACGAACGCUGGCGGCGUGCUUAACACAUGCAAGUCGAGCGAUGAAGUUCCUUCGGGAAUGGAUUAGCGGCGGACGGGUGAGUAACACGUGGGUAACCUGCCUCAUAGAGGGGAAUAGCCUUUCGAAAGGAAGAUUAAUACCGCAUAAGAUUGUAGUUUCGCAUGAAACAGCAAUUAAAGGAGUAAUCCGCUAUGAGAUGGACCCGCGUCGCAUUAGCUAGUUGGUGAGGUAACGGCUCACCAAGGCGACGAUGCGUAGCCGACCUGAGAGGGUGAUCGGCCACAUUGGGACUGAGACACGGCCCAGACUCCUACGGGAGGCAGCAGUGGGGAAUAUUGCACAAUGGGGGAAACCCUAAUGCAGCAACGCCGCGUGAGUGAUGACGGUCUUCGGAUUGUAAAGCUCUGUCUUCAGGGACGAUAAUGAUGGUACCUGAGGAGGAAGCCACGGCUAACUACGUGCCAGCCGCCGCAGUAA